UUAAGGUACAAUCUUAAAUCACAGUUGCAGAGCUAAACUAACUGCAAACAUUUUUACUGGCUACACACACAGUCACGUCAGCUGCACCAAUGUUACAUUCCAAGAAUGGGCAUUUUCACAUCAAUGAAACUAGAGAAACAGCCAGCUGAAACAGGAGGUGAUGAGAGCUGCUGCUGGACAUUUACAACAGAAUGAGUGUGUCCUUGGUUCCCCUUCUGUGAAGAAUGAGCAAACAUACUCCAUGACUCCUUGGAGAUCAUGUGGCCUCAAAGCAACUGUUUCCUUGAUGGGCGAGACUUGAAAGAGAAGUUUACAGUCUUGUUACAGAUUGCACAACUUGGAAUUUCUGGUGUGAUUGAUUAAAAAGAAAAUCCUAAAAGGCUGCCAAGUGCCAAAAUACCAGUGUGUAUGGUUUAUUUUUGUUCUUCUGAUGUAUGAAUGGGGGAAAGCUGUUACUUAAAUUUUUAAAAAAUGUUUUAAAAUCCUCCUCACCUGCAAAUAGUGGAAGAAAGCAAAUCUCCUUCUGAGUCACGUGUGGAAUUAACUAACAGUUUUCACUUCAACACAUCUUAAUUUUGAGAAAACUGGGUGCUGAUGGAAGAAGUGGAAGAAGUUGCUUCAGAGAAUGAAAUCUCCUGAUUAUCUUCAAAAAGCUUGCAAGAUUUUUGAUCUUCUGUAUGUUUCCCCAGCUAUGACCUGCAUAUACUACUGGGAGAAAAAAUUCACACCUCGGCUAAGGUUGAAAAUUGGUGUUGUCCCAUGACUUCUAUCCAUGCAUGUGGCUUUCCAUUUUUUAAGCUGAAAAGAAACCAAACAACAGAUGAAGAAAUAGUGUUUUUGGUUAGAACAGGACAAUUCUCAGUUGCUAGUGAGCCUGCAGCUUUGCUCUCCCCAGGAGAGUUUUCCAGAUAAUUGCAUAUGAGGCUGAAGUCUUGUUGUAAACAUUUUGUCAGAUUUCAGUUCUGAGACUUCCACAUGUAAAGUUUUUGAAGGCUUGUGGCAGAAUACUGAGCCAGCUACAUUCAAGGACUAUUUGUUUGAAUAUGUGUCUGCAAGAGUGGGUUGAAUCUCAAUAACCACAGAUGAAAGGGAAUUGGCACAAGCAAACUUCCUGCCCCUUCAACAGCUCCUCUGAGACCCCUGCAAAGUUGUUUCCAAGAAUCAGAGGGUCCUCAAGAACAGGGUGGGAAUGGGUAUGGGGAGCUGCAAGGACAUCAACACUUUCUGUAAAUGGCUAGGGGCCUCCAAAACACAGGGAAAUCUUCCCCACAUUUGGCUCUGAAGUCUGCACUUUUCAGACAAAUGUCCAAUGCACAGCUAGGGAGGGAGCAUGUCCAGCAAGUGUGUGACUGUUGGUGGCGUGGCUAGUUGACGCAUUGCUGCUUCUCCCUCAUGCAUCUGCUGAGUAAGACUUGUAAGCAUCUCCAGUUGCAUUCCUUCACUGAUUCUCUUAUUUAUUUAUUUAUUUAUUUAACAUUUUAUAUCCCACUCUUCCUCCAAGAAGCCCAGAGUGGUGUACUACAUACUUAAGUUUCUCCUCACAACAACCCUGUGAAGUAGGUUAGGCUGAGAGAGAAGUGACUGGCCCAGAGUCACCCAACAAGUAUUUGGCUGAAUGGGGAUUUGAACUCAGGUCUCCCCAGUCCUAGUCCAGCACACUAACCACUACACCACACCGGCUCUCUUACUCGUUGUUCUCCCCCAGCAGCUGUGGGGAAGAUUAGGGAGCGGGGAGGAAGGUGGACAAGAGAAGCAGUGGGAUGAUGGCUUGUUUAGGCUAUCUGGUUAUGUUUUACAAGCACCUCUAAAUACUGCUGGCAGUCCUCAUACAAUUGACCUCACUAUGCUGGCAGCCGAUUGGCACAUUUCCCAGAUUCCCAGGGUGCUUUGUUGGAUUCCAACACAGUAUUUGGUAAUCAAUAUCUAAGUGCUAAAAUGAUUCUGGAACAUUUCAGCCGAAGGAGCAGAAGAUUUGGUGAUUACAAGCUGACAGGAAAGACGUCCAACCAUUUUAUAACAUUUGCUUAUCCUAAGGAAAACUAAUAAAGUUUUGUUUUAUUGUA